GCCAUGGGUGUGGCCCUAAAGAGUGGGGGCGGCGGGGGGGUUAUAAUGUCCCCAUCUCUUCCCACAAAUCUUCCUGGUCUUUGUACCGGUGUGAAUCUCUUCCUCUGAGCUCCCCUGGCAGCAGAACCUGCCUCUUGCCCUGUGGGUAACUGACCAGCUCCGUAAGCCUCCGUUUCUUCAUCUGUAACGUGGAUGUGGUGGUAAGAAUGACCUCGUGGAUUGUUGGGCGGAUUAUAAAAUGUACCAUAAAGGGCCUCACAAAUGGGGGGGCCCUUGCAUACAGUGGCCGUUAGCCUGAUUCCUUCCUUUAUGGCCGGUGAUACAUCUUGCCUCACGUUUUGGACACAUGCCUCAUCACCCCCGCUUGCACGUGAGCUCCUCGGAGAGGGGACGAAGCCUGAUUCAUCUUUGUUUUCCCUCAUCAUUAAGGACAGCAUCUUGCACAUUGGUUGCUAGAGCAGCAGUUGUCCAAGUGUGCUCCCUGGACCAGCAGCAUCACAGCAUCUAGGACAUGGGAGAAAAACAGGCCCCAGCCCAGACCGACGGAAUCUAAAGCUCUAAGUUUUGCAGGGAGCAGUGAUGACCAGGAGGGCGUGAUCUAUACCAGGUCGGGCUAAGCUGAAGGUGUGGCUGGAAAAGAAACAACCAGAGUGAACCAGAAGCUUUGAUCAUAAUAAGGAUGCAGCCCUCACUCUUUGCAGUGGUCUCCAGCUGAUGGCGUUGUUGGCAGGAGGAAAGCAGGGUGGUGGAAGACAGGCCGAGUCAGCUUGCAGAAACCCCAGCUCCAGCCCCACACAGAUGACAGCGAGCCUGGCUCUAUGCGCCAAACGUGCUUCCAUGCAGUUUUGCAUAAGCCGCAUUUGUGUGAUGUGUGUCCUCCUUUCCAUCUGGGUUCCAGGAUCCCUGUCAACAUCUUGUGUCGUCUGUCUGCAAAUACAGCCGCUCAUGAUGCUUCCCGUGGAGAGGUGGAGCUUAUUUCUCCCUCAGUGGGGUCUGGGGGACCGCGGGACUGUGCAACUUGCUUUGACGGAUAGGAUGUGGCACGAGUGAUGCAGUGCACCUCCCAGGCCUGGUGGCCUGGAACUCCUGCUAUCAUGCUCCCAGAAUGCAGUCACCACGCAGUGAGGAAAUCCAGGCUGUCUUAGGGGAAGGAGAGACCAGAUGGUGAGAAAAGCCACACGGAGGCCAAGAGGCCAUGGGACACGCCCUUCUAGAACCUUCCAGCCAUAAGCCACAUGUGUGUCCCAUCUAUUUCCUCUCUUGGCCAGCACCUGGCACGUGUCCAGUCUAGUCCAUGUGAAAGAGGAGCCGUGUCUGGCCUGCCAGAGAAGGGUGAGAAAGCAUAAAAUCAGUGUUAUUUUAAGCCCCAGGUUUGGGGAUGGUUGGUUAUAUAAUAAAAGACAGCUGAAAUAGAUCCAUUUAGCUUUUUGUCUUAGCACCCUCAAUUU